rnacentral:lncRNA from 1 species
GAAUUUGUUCAUCAAGGAAAUCACUAAGUGGCACAGUAGUAUCAGGCGUAGAGGUAGUUUCAUCAUAAGUAUCAUGCAUAGCAGAAGUGGCAUCAUCAAUUGUAACACCCUCGAUGCGGCUAUAUCUCCCACGGGUCGAAGCACGACUUAGAGGCAUAACCGCAUUGAAAGCAAUGUCGCAAGUGAGGUAAUCUUCACAACAACCCAUGUAAAUAAAUAAAGGGGAAAGGUACAUAGUUGGCUUACACUCGCCACGUCACACAAAUACAUAAAUAAGUCAUUACAUUCAUCCAAUACACUCAAGGUUCGACUACGGAACCAAAAUGAAGAUCAACCCCCAAAUGUGACAAAGUCCCCGAUCUCCCCAACUGGGCACCACUACUGAUCAUCUGGGAAAGACACGUAGUAACGACGAGAGUCUUCAUCGAACUCCCACUUGAGCUCGGUCAUAUCAUCUGGAAUGGCAUCAUCGAUCCCUGCAUCUGGUUUUGGAAGUAAUCUGUGAGUCACGGGGACUCAGCAAUCUCACACCCUCGCGAUCAAGACUAUUUAAGCUUAUAGAAAAGGCAAAGGUAUGAUGUGGAGCUGCAGCAAGCGACUAGCAUAUAUGGUGGCUAACAUACGCAAAAGAGAGCGAGAAGAGAAGGAGAAAGCACGGUCGAACAAUUAUGAUCAAGAAGUGAUCCUAGAACAACCUACGUCAAGCAUUACUUCAACACCGUGUUCACUUCCCGGACUCCGCCGAGAAGAGACCAUCACGGUUACACACGCAGUUGGUGCAUUUUAAUUAAGUUAAGUUUCAGGUUAUCUACAACCAGACAUUAACAAAUUCUCAUCUGCCCAUAACCGCGGGCACGGCUUUCGAAAGUUCAAAUCCUUGCAGGGGAGUUCCAACUUAGCCCAUCACAAGCUCUCAUGGUCAACGAAGGAUAUUCCUUCUCCCAAGACAUUCCGAUCAGACUCGGCAUCCCGGUUACAAGACAUCAUCGACAAUGGUAAAACAAGUCCAACAACACCGCCCGAAUGUGCUGACAAAUCCCGAUAGGAGCUGCACAUAUCUCGUUCUUAGGGCACACUCGGAUUAACACUACGUACAACUAAAACCAACCCUCAAGUUUCCCCAAGGUGGCGCUGCAAGUGGCUGUGUUUGGACUAACACUCAGAGGAGCACUGGCCCGGGGGGGAUAAUAAAGAUGACCCUUGGGCUCCGGAAACCCAAGAGAAAAAGAGGCUAGGUGGCAAAUGGUAAAACCAAGGUUGGGCAUUGCUGGAGGAGUUUUAUUCAAGGCGAAUUGUCAAGGGGUUCCCAUUAUAACCCAACCGUGUAAGGACCGCAAAAUCCGAGAACAUAACACCGAUAUGACGGAAACUAGGGCGGCAAGAGUGGAACAAAACACUAGGCAUAAGGCCGAGCCUUCCACCCUUUACCAAAUAUAUAGGUGCAUUAAGAUAAACAAGAUAAUAUGGUGAUAUCCCAACAAUAAACAAGUUCCAACAAGGAACGAUCUCCAAUCUUCACCUGCAACUAGCAACGCUAUAAGUGGGGCUGAGCAAAGCGGUAACAUAGCCAAACAACGAUUUGCUAGGACAAGGUGGGUUAGAGGUUUGGCAUGGCAAUAUGGGAGGCAUGAUAAACAAGUAGUAGGUGUCGUAGCAUAGGCAUAGCAAAAGAGUGAGCAUCUAGCAAGCAAAGAUAGAAGUGAUUUUGAGAGUAUGGUCAUCUUGCCUGCAAACUUCUCAGAGUUGCCUUGAUCCUCGUAAGCGUACUCAAUGGGCUCCUCGAUCACGUACUCGUCUCCCGGCUCUACACAAACAACGGCUCUACACAAACAAGAACAACAAGCAAAAGGAACACAAUCAACCACAUGCAAUGCUUAAAUAACAUGAUGCAAACAUGAUAUGAUAUGCGGGAUGCGGUAUGUGAUGCAUAUGCAAGAUUUGGAAAGGAAUGAAUGAACCUGGCCUCUCAACUUGGAAAUCCAAGAGUGCCACUGGAAAGAGGAGUUGAUUUCGGUCGAAAUCGAUAUAAAGAUCACCGGAAUCGGAUGCACGGGUUGGAAAUGACAAGCAAAACAAAUAUGUCACCGGUCUGCGAUAAACAGCAAAUAGUCUUCUAAAUGCAUCAAGAACAACAUGCUACUGCACCCAAACAUAGCAACAAAAUACAUGGCAGGGAUCCACUCAUAAUUCUUGACAAAAGAUGAACACUGAGCUAUGGCUAAUUCACUCAAUAACAGGUUCAAACAAACAUGGAAAAAGUGCAAAAGAUUACUGGUUUCAGACUUAGAGAAAAUAACACAUCGGGAAUUUAUCAUCAGGAAGCAAUGUUUAGAGCAUGAAAAUUACAUGCUACAGGAACAUAUCAUGGCAAAGAAAGACAUGGCAUGAAGCUACUCAAAGCAUAUAAUAAAAAUCCCUUAGUGACCAUAAGCCAAAAGGGAUCAGAAAAUACAAUUGCAAGCAUGUGAAUAUAGUAAAAACAUAAACAGAUACAGACUUAGCAGAAAAACAGAGCGUGGCAAAAACAGAUCAUGAUAGCAACUUGGCAUGCUUGUUCCACUCAUCACAGUGCACAAAGGGACAUGGCAUAAAUACUAGCAUGUAAAAGGCAAGAAAAUGAAGCUAGCCAUGUACCAAACAACCUCAUAGCAUGCUUAAAAUAAAUCACACAAAAAUGACAAAAUAACAUCAUGAGGUAAAAUGACAUAUUCAUGAACUUGCUCAAAUGCAUAAACUAAUGCCACCACUGGAUUGGUGGGAUUUUUCUACCCAAAAAACAUAUAUAAUAUGUGGGGGUUACUGUAGAAAAAUCCCCACAAAUGCAAUAAGUCAAACACUGCCUAAAAAAGUAGCCGACAGAAAUGACAUUUUCCUUAUUUGGAAAUGUCCAGAAAUGGACUUGCCUGAACUGGAAUAAGGUAUCUUUCCCGAAAUGGAAAGCGCUGGAAUAAAGAAAAAAUAAUAAAAGAAAUAAGAGGAGGGGGUGAGGAUGACAUGUGGUGCCCUGUGGAGUGUUAGUAUGGCAGGUGGGGCCUUGCUGUCAUACUCACGCAUGUGCCAAACAACCUCAUAGCAUGCUUAAAAUAAAUCACACAAAAAUGACAAAACAGCAUCAUGAGGUAAAAUGACAUAUUCAUGAACUUGCUCAAAUGCAUAAACUAAUGCCACCACUGGAUUGGUGGGAUUUUUCUACCCCAAAAACAUAUAUAAUAUGUGGGGGUUACUGUAGAAAAAUCCCCACAAAUGCAAUAAGUCAAACACUGCCUAAAAAGGUAGCUGACAGAAAUGACAUUUUCCUUAUUUGGAAAUGUCCAGAAAUGGACUUGCCUGAACUGGAAUAAGGUAUCUUUCCCGAAAUGGAAAGCGCUGGAAUAAAGAAAAAAUAAUAAAAGAAAUAAGAGGAGGGGGUGAGGAUGACAUGUGGUGCCCUGUGGAGUGUUAGUAUGGCAGGUGGGGCUUUGCUGUCAACCUCAUAGCAUGCUUAAAAUAAAUCACACAAAAAUGACAAAACAGCAUCAUGAGGUAAAAUGACAUAUUCAUGAACUUGCUCAAAUGCAUAAACUAAUGCCACCACUAGAUUGGUGGGAUUUUUCUACCCCAAAAACAUAUAUAAUAUGUGGGGUUACUGUAGAAAAAUCCCCAUAAAUGCAAUAAGUCAAACACUGCCUAAAAAGGUAGCUGACAGAAAUGACAUUUUCCUUAUUUGGAAAUGUCCAGAAAUGGACUUGCCUGAACUGGAAUAAGGUAUCUUUCCCGAAAUGGAAAGCGCUGGAAUAAAGAAAAAAUAAUAAAAGAAAUAAGAGGAGGGGGUGAGGAUGACAUGUGGUGCCCUGUGGAGUGUUAGUAUGGCAGGUGGGGCUUUGCUGUCAUACUCACGCAUAAUGCAAAAAAGGGGGGUUUUAGUAUGGCAGGUGGGGCUUUGCUGUCAUACUCACGCAUAAUGCAAAAAAGGGGGGUUUUAAACCGCACCAGGGGAGGAUCGAACCCAGGUCUCCCUGGAGUUAGAGCGUGGCCUUUGCCACUGGGCUAGGCGCUCAUAUUUGGCAUGAAGAAGACCGGACACCUUAAGUACUAGCGAGAGGUCUGGCUAGUCUCCUCUACACAUACAGAAAAGAAAACGACGACGAUGCCGGCGAGCGAGGUGGCCGUAUCCGGCGAGGUGGUGUGCCGGCGGGGGUGCGGACACGGAGGGGGUGUAGCGCGUGCAUGCGGAGCUGCUGCGAGAGUGCACGCGUUGGGUUCAACUCGAGCACGAGCUCAUGGCGAGCUUGGCUUGGUACCGUCGGUGCAGAGGCCGAGCGAGCUUCCUCUGAAGCUGGCGAGGCGAGGCGAAGCGAGGCGAGCGGGGUGCGAGCGUGCACACGGGCAACCGUGGCGAGGAGAACGCAGCUAGGUGGGAACCGGAGCACGGGGACGCGCGGGCGCGCUGCAGCAAGUACACACAACAAAACUGCAGACUUCGCCGGAGCACCGUGAGCACAGCAAAGACACGGAUCGAUCGAGCCUCACGGGGUCCUAUAUGCCAUGGAAAGAAAAGGGAGAGGUUGGUGCGUUACCCAGCUCACCCUAGGACACGAUGGGGUCGACGGAGACGAGCCGGAGAUGACGCGAGGGAGCGCUGAACUUGGUGGGGCUGCUGUCCGCGAAGCAGAGGGAGAAGAUGUCGUCGUGGUAGUCGAUCCAGGGGCCGUAGCGGUGCGUGCGUGAAGAAGAGGGCGGAGAGGUACUUGACGGUCCUCUCGACGGCAACAGGCGGGUCGGAGGCGUGACGUGGACGGCUAACCCGAGCUCGAGCUCUUGCUCGCUCGGGUCAUGGUGGGCAGGGCGACGGCGAGGCGCGUGGCGCUAACCUAGGCGGCGGAGAGGGAAGAAGAGGAGGGGAUCGGUCGAGGGGAG